rnacentral:rRNA from 1 species
UACGAAGGGGGCUAGCGUUGCUCGGAAUCACUGGGCGUAAAGCGCACGUAGGCGGACUCUUAAGUCGGGGGUGAAAGCCUGUGGCUCAACCACAGAAUGGCCUUCGAUACUGGGACGCUUGAGUAUGGUAGAGGUUGGUGGAACUGCGAGUGUAGAGGUGAAAUUCGUAGAUAUUCGCAAGAACACCGGUGGCGAAGGCGGCCAACUGGACCAUUACUGACGCUGAGGCGCGAAAGCGUGGGGAGCAAACAGG